rnacentral:misc_RNA from 1 species
UUUCCGUAGGUGAACCUGCGGAAGGAUCAUUAAUGUGUUUGGGCCUCACGGCUCUUCAUUCCGACGCUGUGCGCCUUCGGGCUGCACGCUAAGGGAGCAUAUAUCCACCCCUGUGCACACACACGGUGGCGAGCUGGGUAACGGCUCGCCGCUGAUCUUUACACACGUCUAAAAGUCAUUGUAUGUUUAUUUGAGAUAAAAACACAACUUUCAGCAACGGAUCUCUUGGCUCUCGCAUCGGUGAAGAACGCAGC